GGCGAACGGGUGAGUAAUAUAUCGGAACGUACCCAAGAGUGGGGGAUAACGUAGCGAAAGUUACGCUAAUACCGCAUACGAUCUAAGGAUGAAAGCAGGGGACCGCAAGGCCUUGUGCUCCUGGAGCGGCCGAUAUCUGAUUAGCUAGUUGGUAGGGUAAAGGCCUACCAAGGCUACGAUCAGUAGCUGGUCUGAGAGGACGACCAGCCACACUGGAACUGAGACACGGUCCAGACUCCUACGGGAGGCAGCAGUGGGGAAUUUUGGACAAUGGGCGCAAGCCUGAUCCAGCAAUGCCGCGUGAGUGAAGAAGGCCUUCGGGUUGUAAAGCUCUUUUGUCAGGGAAGAAACGGUGAGGGCUAAUAUCCUUCACUAAUGACGGUACCUGAAGAAUAAGCACCGGCUAACUACGUGCCAGCAGCCGCGGUAAUACGUAGGGUGCAAGCGUUAAUCGGAAUUACUGGGCGUAAAGCGUGCGCAGGCGGUUUUGUAAGUCUGAUGUGAAAUCCCCGGGCUCAACCUGGGAAUUGCAUUGGAGACUGCAAGGCUAGAAUCUGGCAGAGGGGGGUAGAAUUCCACGUGUAGCAGUGAAAUGCGUAGAGAUGUGGAGGAACACCGAUGGCGAAGGCAGCCCCCUGGGUCAAGAUUGACGCUCAUGCACGAAAGCGUGGGGAGCAAACAGGAUUAGAUACCCUGGUAGUCC
rnacentral:rRNA from 1 species